rnacentral:rRNA from 1 species
GACGAACGCUGGCGGCGUGCUUAAUACAUGCAAGUCGAACGGAAAGGCCCUGCUUUUGUGGGGUGCUCGAGCGGCGAACGGGUGAGUAACACGUGAGUAACCUGCCCUUGACUUUGGGAUAACUUCAGGAAACUGGGGCUAAUACCGGAUAGGAGCUUCUGCUGCAUGGUGGGGGUUGGAAAGUUUCGGCGGUUGGGGAUGGACUCGCGGCUUAUCAGCUUGUUGGUGAGGUAGUGGCUUACCAAGGCUUUGACGGGUAGCCGGCCUGAGGGGGUGACCAGCCACAUUGGGACUGAGAUACGGCCCAGACGCGUACGGGAGGCAGUAGUCGGGAAUAUUGCACAGUGGCGGGAAGCCUGAUGCAGCAACGCCGCGUGCGGGAUGACGGCCUUCGGGUUGUAAACCGCUUUCGCCUGUGACGAAGCGUGAGUGACGGUAAUGGGUAAAGAAGCACCGGCUAACUACGUG